GACGAACGCUUGCGGCGUGCCUAAGAAAUGCAAGUCGAGCGAGGUGAGGGGGCUUGCUCCCGAAGCCUAGCGGCGAACGGUCGCGUAACACGUAAGCAACCUGCCCUAAAGUUGGGGAUAGCCCGCCGAAAGGCGGAUUAAUACCGAAUGUGGACACUAUCUCGCAUGUGUGUAGUGUCUAAAGCAGCGAUGCGCUUUAGGAUGGGCUUGCGGCCUAUCAGCUAGUUGGUGUGGUAACGGCUCACCAAGGCGACGACGGGUAGCUGGUCUGAGAGGAUGGUCAGCCGGACUGGGACUGAGAUACGGCCCAGACUCCUACGGGGGGCAGCAAUUAGGAAUCUUGCGCAAUGGGCGAAAGCCUGACGCAGCGACGCCGCGUGACUGAUGAAGUCUUUCGGGAUGUAAAGGUCUUUUAUGGGGGACGAAGGAUGUGACGGUACCCCAGGAAUAAGCCCCGGCUAACUACGUG
rnacentral:rRNA from 1 species